rnacentral:rRNA from 1 species
GAUGAACGCUGGCGGCGUGCUUAACACAUGCAAGUCGAGCGAGUGAGUUCUUCGGAACGAUCUAGCGGCGGACGGGUGAGUAACACGUGGGCAACCUACCUCAUAGAGGGGAAUAGCCUCCCGAAAGGGAGAUUAAUACCGCAUAAAAUUAUCGAGUGGCAUCACAUGAUAAUCAAAGGAGUAAUCCGCUAUGAGAUGGGCCUGCGGCGCAUUAGCUAGUUGGUGAGGUAACGGCUCACCAAGGCGACGAUGCGUAGCCGACCUGAGAGGGUGAUCGGCCACAUUGGGACUGAGACACGGCCCAGACUCCUACGGGAGGCAGCAGUGGGGAAUAUUGCACAAUGGGGGAAACCCUGAUGCAGCAACGCCGCGUGAGUGAUGAAGGUCUUCGGAUUGUAAAGCUCUGUCUUUGGGGACGAUAAUGACGGUACCCAAGGAGGAAGCCACGGCUAACUACGUGCCAGCCGCCGCGGUAA